rnacentral:lncRNA from 1 species
AAGUUCCAAUGUUUUCAUACCAAGGCUAUUUCUUGCUCUUGCAAAGACUAAUGCUUUGAAGGUAACUCAUCUGCAAGGAUCUCCUCCAGCCAGUGACUCAGGGCUCCAGGCUGCUUACACCUUGUAGCCAUGCCACCUGGAAUGCAAAAUCCAAUGUCACCACAGUGGGGAGCGAGAGGGCUGGACAAUCUUCUAGGACACUGCUGAGUCCCACCUGGAAGGGGUUAGAUCAUUUCUACCUACCUCGCACUGGCGGUAAUUCAGCAAGUUGUCCCCAGUGUAACUGAGGAAGGCUGAGGAAAGAGUAGGAUCAUGGGUACACUUAGUGAACACCUGUGUGAGAGAUCUGGCACCUGACAUCAGCGCCAGAGCCUCCCUCAGUUUCAUUAACCACCUGGACUGGACCUUAUUUCUUCAUCCUUGUGCUUUCUGUUCAUCUGUCUCCUCCCUUUCAAGUUCACCUCCAGCACGACUCCUACAAUGAAAUUGUCAGCAAAGCACCCCUCUACAGUUCUGGAGGCUUAGAAGUUCAAGAUCAGGGUGCUGUGAUGGUCAGGUUCUGAUGAAGAUUCUCUUCCUGGCUUGCAGACAGCUGCCUUCCUGCUGUGUCCUCAUGGAGGGCAAAGAGAGAGAGAAAGAAAUCUUUCUGUUCUAUUCUUAUAAGGGCAUCAAUCCUAUCAUGAGGAACCCACCCUUAUAAGCUCAUCUAAACCUAAUUACAAAGCCCACAUUCCAAUACUUACACACUGGGACUUAGGACUUCAACAUAUGGAUUUGUGGGGCGUGGGGAUGGACACAAACUUCUAGUCCUAGUCUAAAACAUCAUCCCAAAAGAGAUCCCAUAUAAAUGGCAUUUCCCUUCUUGUUUCCUCCUCCUACCUCAAAAACCUCUAUUUAAUCCAGCCUUAUAAAUGUGAACUGAGUCUUGUUAAACAUAUACCCACAUUUUUACUCAAUUGCAGUUAAAUGCAUAAAGGAGAACUACCCUUUGUGUAGCUUAAAAUACUGCCACAAAUGACAUAUAUUUGAAGAAAGGAAUUUGGAUGAGCCAAUAGACAAUAUCCCAAAUGGCAAGAACUUGCUAUUUGAUUUACAUCUAUGUCCAUAAGAGCACGGCUUACAACUGAUGAUCAAUACUUUGUUGAAAACCUCAAUAAAGUCAUUUCUGAAUUAUCAAUGUCAUUUGUUGCCACAAAUUUGCCAUUACUUCAACUUGACUUCUAAGUCUUCAGGCUUCUGCUCAAUGAAUUUGCUCUUCUACUUCUUAUUUCCUCCCACCCAAGGAGCAAGAGGCAUUCUGGACACCUUUCUCUUAGAAAAAUUUUCUUUUUCUCUGGGAUGUUCCCCCACUGGGUUUAUACUUUUUUUUUUCUUUUUUCAGGUCGAUCAUAUUCAGAACAUACUCUAGGAAGUUGUGGAUUUGUCUUCCCCAGAGAUCAAUAAAUAUAUUUUAUUCAGUUCUUCUAUAUACCAUCAGUUAGAAUUUACAUUUAGAGGUCAGAAGAAAUGAAGUGGCUUAAACAGGAUAAAAAUUUAUGUCUUUCACAUGAUGAUGAUGAUCCCAGAUGUAAGUAGUUCAAGGUUGACCUGGCGGCCCAAUCACCUCAUCAGGGAUCUAGGCUCUUUGUAUCUUUCUUCCCAUCAUCUUUAACACUUGGCUUCCAUUCUCAUGAUGUCUCAUGAUCCAGAAUGGCAAUGAGAGCCCCAGACAUCACAUCCAUAGUCCAGUCGUGAGAAGCAGGGAGAAUGAAAGGGCCCUUUAAAGAGUUUUCCUGCACAUCCCAUUUAGAAUGUAUGCACAUGACUGCCUAGAUGCAAGAAAAUAUGGGAAAUGGCAUCUUUUACCUAAACACAUGGCUGUCCUCAAUAAAAUCGGGAAUUUUUCUAGAGAAUAAAAGAGUAAAUAGGCAUUGGGUACAACACAGAACUUGUAGAAAACAGGCACUCCUCAAAGCUUGCUGGAUUAAAUUACUUUCAAUAAGACAGUAUAAUAAAGACAGUAUAAUAAUGCCACAGGUUUUUUUAAACUGUCAAAAACAAAGACUCCCUGAAUGAGCUAUUACAGUUUGAAAACUGCCUUAAGUCAGUGCUUGGUGCAUUUCAGACUUAAAAAUGAAAAUAACAAUAGCCUUACACUUUUGUUGGAAGAGCAAGCUGGGUUAUGGCAGGAAGAUCACAGGCUCUGGAGUAGAGACCCGACAUUGAAGCCCAACGUGAUCAGUCACAGCCUGUGUGAUUUGUUCACAUUGCAUAAUUCCAUUGAGCGUCUCCUCUGAAAAAUGGGUAUUAAAAAGAACUACUUCCUGGUGUGAGGCUUUAGGAACAAAUGAAGGAAUAACGCAUACGAGACACACCUGCUAACAUCGUCAUUUGGAUGUUCAGUAAACCGAACUCUGAUGAGCAUGAGAAUAAAGAACUGCCACAGCCCUGGGACAUGUUAAACAUCUCAAACCUCAGUCCCAUUUUUCUGUAAAAUGAGGACAUUAUUUUUUACUUUUCCAGAGUGGCAAGGAGUAGGUGAUUAAAUCAGCUAAAUAUGACAUAAGAACUUAGAAAAGCAAUGGUGAACUUAUGAUACAUUCAUUCCUUCAGAUGCAUUGACUCUCUGGUCCAUGCUAGACCUUAUUCUGUAUGAAUAAGUCCCCAAGUGACCCCAAGUUGGAAUCUCAGGCACCCAGAGCGAUGACAUGCCAGUUCCACAUUUUUUGUGUGACAGAAAUGCUUCUGUUCAAAAGAAUAACGGUUCAUUAGAAAGACACAAAAGAAAUUCCAUGUAGCUUCUCAGGUUUAGGUGACAAGGCCACUUUCAUGGGAUUGCUGUCAUUCUCCUCUCUGACUUGGAGAAUCCCAAACAUCUAUGGGAGCCACCUCUGGGAAGACUCUUUGGUAAGAUGAGUUGAUGAAGCAUCCUUACCUACAAAGAGGUACCUAACAGCUGGCAACACCGUAAACAUAAAUCCCUUGUCACUUGAUUUCCAGAGGCUGUUGAUAAAUUGCUUCUAAAGUCUUUUCUAGUGAACUUCAUAAUGAGUUUUUACAGCGUGAAGCAGUGGUCAGUACUGUAAUCUUGACUAAAUGUCAAUAAAGGAUUUAUAAACAGAACUUUAUGCAUUCUAGGAUUGUACAGUAUGUCAAUGCUUCCUUUAAGUCAUGCUGGAAGUUUGCACACAGGGACAUCUGUGGGGACUAGAGUGGGAAAUCUUGGGAAGCCGUCUUAGGAUUCUGCCUGUGGCAGAUACUCUAUAAAAUUCAACUAAAUUACUGCAUAAUUAUACACAUAAUUAAUUAUUACUUAAGCUCAAGCUUAUAGUGCUUGAAUGUUUUGCAGAAUAAAAUUGCAUUCCAGUAUGUCCUAGUGCAGUUUCGUUACCAUAAUUUCUAUGGUUCUCGGUAUAAUUUCUGUUAUUCAUAGUAUAGUUUUAUAAAUAAGAUAUUAGUUUUGAGGAGUUCCCAUCGUGGCUCAGGGAUAAUGAACCCAACUAGUAUACAUGAGGAUGCAAGUUCUAUCCCUGGUCUUGCUCAGUGAGUUAAGGAUCUGGCAUUUCUGGCGUUGCUGUGAGCUGUGGUGUAGGUUGCAGACGCUGCUCAGAUCUGCUGUUGCCAUGGCUGUGACAUAGGCUGGCAGCUGCAGGUCCAAUUUGACCCCUACCCUGGGAACUUCCAUACGCCACAGGUGUGGCCCUAAAAAAGACCAAAAAAAA